UGUCCAGUAGCACCUUAGAGACCAACUACGUUUGUUUUUGGUAUAAGCUUUUGUUUGCAUGCACACUUCAUGAAAGCUUAUACCAAGAACAAACUUAGUUGGCCUCUAAGGUGCUACUGGAAU
rnacentral:miRNA from 1 species